GAUGAACGCUGGCGGCGUGCUUAACACAUGCAAGUCGAGCGAAGCGCUUAAGUUUGAUUCUUCGGAUGAAGACUUUUGUGACUGAGCGGCGACGGGUGAGUAACGCGUGGUAACCUGCCUCAUACAGGGGGAUAACAGUUAGAAAUGACUGCUAAUACCGCAUAAGACCACAGGGUCGCAUGACCCGGUGGUAAAAAACUCCGGUGGUAUGAGAUGGACCCGCGUCUGAUUAGCUAGUUGGUGAGGUAACGGCCCACCAAGGCAACGAUCGGUAGCCGGACUGAGAGGUUGAACGGCCACAUUGGGACUGAGACACGGCCCAG
rnacentral:rRNA from 1 species